CCUACGGGUGGCAGCAGUGGGGAAUAUUGCACAAUGGGGGAAACCCUGAUGCAGCGACGCCGCGUGAGUGAAGAAGUAUUUCGGUAUGUAAAGCUCUAUCAGCAGGGAAGAAAAUGACAGUAACUGACGAAGAAGCCCCGGCUAACUACGUGCCAGCAGCCGCGGUAAUACGGAGGGGGCAAGCGUUAUCCGGAUUUACUGGGUGUAAAGGGAGCGUAGACGGUGAUGUAAGUCUGGUGUGAAAGCCUGGGGCUUAACCCCGGGACUGCAUUGGAAACUGUGUAACUGGAGUGCAGGAGGGGCAGGCGGAAUUCCUGGUGUAGCGGUGAAAUGCGUAGAGAUCAGGAGGAACACCGGCGGCGAAGGCGGCCUGCUGGACUGUAACUGACGUUGAGGCUCGAAAGCGUGGGGAGCAAACAGGAUUAGAUACCCUAGUAGUC
rnacentral:rRNA from 1 species